rnacentral:rRNA from 1 species
UACGUAGGCAGCGAGCGUUGUUCGGAGUUACUGGGCGUAAAGAGUGCGUAGGCGGUUUUCUAAGUUUGGUGUGAAAUCUCCCGGCUUAACUGGGAGGGUGCGCCGAAGACUGGAAGGCUUGAGUAUGGGAGAGGUAAGCGGAAUUCCUGGUGUAGCGGUGAAAUGCGUAGAUAUCAGGAGGAACACCAAUGGCGAAGGCAGCUCGCUGGGACGUUACUGACGCUGAGACGCGAAAGCGUGGGGAGCAAACAGG